rnacentral:rRNA from 1 species
AAGACCUUGCGCUUUUGGAGCGGCCGAUGCCUGAUUAGCUUGUUGGUGAGGUAAAAGCUCACCAAGGCUUCGAUCAGUAGCUGGUCUGAGAGGACGACCAGCCACACUGGGACUGAGACACGGCCCAGACUCCUACGGGAGGCAGCAGUGGGGAAUUUUGGACAAUGGGGGCAACCCUGAUCCAGCCAUGCCGCGUGAGUGAAGAAGGCCUUCGGGUUGUAAAGCUCUUUCAGCCGGAACGAAACGGUUACGGUUAAUACCCGUGACUACUGACGGUACCGGAAGAAGAAGCACCGGCUAACUACGUGCCAGCAGCCGCGGUAAUACGUAGGGUGCGAGCGUUAAUCGGAAUUACUGGGCGUAAAGCGUGCGCAGGUGGUUUUGUAAGUCAGAUGUGAAAGCCCCGGGCUCAACCUGGGAACU